UACAGAGGGGGCAAGCGUUGUUCGGAAUUACUGGGCGUAAAGGGCGCGUAGGCGGCCUGCUAAGUCGAACGUGAAAUCCCUGGGCUCAACCCAGGAACUGCGUCCGAUACUGGUUGGCUUGAAUUCGGGAGAGGGAUGCAGAAUUCCAGGUGUAGCGGUGAAAUGCGUAGAUAUCUGGAGGAAUACCGGUGGCGAAGGCGGCAUCCUGGACCGAGAUUGACACUGAUGAGCGAAGGCCAGGGGAGCAAACGGG
rnacentral:rRNA from 1 species